GGAAAAUGUGUGCAGUACUGAUAAUGGGACCGGAGAAAGCAGGGAAAGCAUGGAUCCAGGUGUGACCAUCAGGGAUGUCUGGAGCACCUGGGUGUCUUCUGGAACUCUGCUGUCCACCUUCUUGCCAUGUCAAAAAACCCAGUGGGAGGCCAGAAAACAACCUCGCUGUUAGGCAGUGCCCAGGCACACAGCAUUCCAGAAGACAACUGCCGCCCCUUGCCUGCACCUUGCUGUCACCCUCUGGUGAGCCAUCACCACACCAUGAUGUGCCUGGUCUGCGGCUUUGUCGGCAUAGAGACCUGGGCAGCCAGAGAGUGGUUAUCACUCUCAUGUUCCAGCGGAGAAAACAAGACGAGCUGUUCCACCCCAGGAGCACACGGAAAGCGCAGGCCUGGGACCAGGACACAGUCCAUUGUACCUUCCUGGGAGCACAGCUGUGUGUGCAGAGCCCUGGCACAGUUGUGCGUGACUCUGCAUAGCAGGCCUUGGAGUGGCAGAGGGGGACUCUUGAGAGAGAGAAUAGGUCCAGUGACAAGUUGGUGA
rnacentral:lncRNA from 1 species